GACGAACGCUGGCGGCGUGCUUAACACAUGCAAGUCGAGCGGUAAGGCCCUUUCGGGGGUACACGAGCGGCGAACGGGUGAGUAACACGUGGGUGACCUGCCCUCAGCUCUGGGAUAAGCCUGGGAAACUGGGUCUAAUACUGGAUAUGACUCCACGGUGCAUGUCGUGGGGUGGAAAGCCUUGUGCGGCUGAGGAUGGGCCCGCGGCCUAUCAGCUUGUUGGUGGGGUGANGGCCUACCAAGGCGACGACGGGUAGCCGGCCUGAGAGGGCGACCGGCCACACUGGGACUGAGACACGGCCCAGACUCCUACGGGAGGCAGCAGUGGGGAAUCUUGUGCAAUGGGCGAAAGCCUGACGCAGCGACGCCGCGUGAGGGAUGACGGCCU
rnacentral:rRNA from 1 species